rnacentral:rRNA from 1 species
UACGGAGGAUCCAAGCGUUAUCCGGAUUCAUUGGGUUUAAAGGGUGCGUAGGCGGAAUGAUAAGUCAGUGGUGAAAUCCUGCAGCUUAACUGCAGAACUGCCAUUGAUACUGUCAAUCUUGAGUACAUUUGAUGUGGGCGGAAUGUGUCAUGUAGCGGUGAAAUGCUUAGAUAUGACACAGAACACCGAUUGCGAAGGCAGCUCACAAAACUGUAACUGACGCUGAUGCACGAAAGCGUGGGUAUCAAACAGG